AGGCACCAUUGCGGGAACUGCUCUGAGAUCUUGUCGAAGCCCAGGGAGUUGCUGGAGGAUGCGGAAAGUGCUGCUUGCCAAGAAAUGGACCUGAAAAAUAAGUGCAAUUUUAUGACUUGGCUCUGCUGAGCUUCCCCGAGACCCUGCAUAUUUCAGCAGGCCAAGCACCGGAUGCAAAGAAGCCCCCAAAAGACAGCAUUUUUGUAAGAUAUGGAUUGGCACUUUGUUCUCAGAAAACACUGAAGACUCAGGCAAAUGGGCAUGAAGCAACCAGAUAAACAAGUCCCCAGAUUAAGUGAUUCAGUGGAGAAGAGUCAUCCCUGAGUGGUCAAAUCUGCAAAUGUAGAGCUACGAUUGUGUACUUCCCUGAUGUCUGCAACGGAGGUGAAAUGAGCUGCCACAAAGUCGGGAGGAACUGUUAAUGCAUCGAUGACAGAACCAAGACACAAGGAGGUCAACCAGAAAGUAGAUUUCCAGUGAGAGAGAAGGUAGCUUUGCUUUGGGGGCUGGUAAUGAGUUCAAUGGCUUUAACAAGGGAGAGGUGAGGCUUGUGAAGAAGAGGAAACAAGAGGUAUGAUAAAUAUGGAUCUUCGGAAUGAUGAGAAUCCUUAAAUUAAAAUCCAGAGUGUGGGUCUCACGGACUCUGACAACAGUCCUACCUCCCUUUGCCUUUGAAUACGUCUGGAGUACUGUGUCUGGAUUAGAAUCCCAUGUUUCUAGAGGUACAUAAAAAGACUGGAGAUAAAUCAGAGGACGAUCACCUCAACUGUGAGAGAGAGAAGAAAACCAGCAUGUCCUAGACAUUCAUCCUGAGCCUGGAACUAUACUGGGCUGAAACUCGGUAUUUGUACUCAGACACCCAGUGGCAUGCACAUUGCUAUCAUCAGUUUGUAGAUGAGACUGAGAUUUGGAACUUUACGAUUAAUGGCUAGCACAGGGCCACACAGAUUUGGGUCCGGGACUGUCAGUUGCCUACACCCAAGCUCUACCUUCUGUUCCUGAGAAUCAUCCAUCCAAAUGCAAUGCACCAAGGACACAAGCACUGUCUUCAUGAGUAUCGCAUUGUCAUAUAGAAAAGAAAACAGACUACAUAUGUGCUCCAGAUGUGAGAACUAUUGUCUUUAGUGUAAUUUCAGAGGGCAGCCCAUUUCUGUUAAAUUUUGGAAACAAGUUGUAAUGAGUUCGAGUUCUCCAACAGGGCAAAGAUCUUUUCACAUACAUUUCGUGUUUUCUUUUACAGAACUUUGAAGCAGAGAAACAGAUGGUCAUCUUAUCAUGGGUAUAUGGAACAGAUACUUUACUCUUUCCUAUUGAGAGAAAGGUUUAAAUUACAGACCUGUGUCAUCCCUUAAAAUAGUAGAAAACAAAACAAAGCAAAAAAAAAAAAAAAAUCAGUGGCUAUAAGCCAAGCCCACAAGAAAUUCAGUGGUGUUAAGAAAAGCCUAGUUUGGCAACUUCACUGCUUUGGUAUAUUCUUGCUGUUCAGUGCCAUGUAGCAGUCCAGAUUGCUGGGGUCUAGUGUCUAGCUGCAGAGUUUGCUAACCUUGUGACUGUGGAUCAUUUUCCAGAACUUUCCAGCACCAGUCUUCCCAUGUGCUGUACAAACAUGAAGUGAAACAUGCAUGUAAAAAAUACUCAGCACACUUCCAAGGCUAUAGCAAUGUUAUAGUGAAUGUCGGUACCAGUGGCAGUCGGGUGGUGACUAGAAUUAUGAGAAACUGAGUGACCAGAGAUGUUUAUCACAGGCUUACCAUCUUUUCUCACCUUCUUUUGAUUAAUGCUUCAGAGUAUCCUAGGAAGGACAAUACAGGUAUUAAAUUUUACUGUAUUUCAGCUGAUUCUGGAUACAAAGCAAAAAUCAAGAAUUCCUUUCUUGGGCAUUUUUCUUUCGAUAUUGUGCUAUUGUGUUUUUUAAGUGUCUGUUAAGAAUCUCUUACAGUUAUGCAUGGAGUGUACUAACUUUAACACAUCACAUUCAAAUAGCUUGGAAGUAUGUAAAAUCCCAAACUAGAUGUCCUUCAGCAUCCCAGAACAGAUGCCCCUCCCUGACACACCUGACACAUCCACACAUUUUCAAAAGGAAAUUUUGUUGAGAACUCACCGGUAUCCUUGUCAUUGUUUUUAUUUCUAGUCCAAACUCAGAACAUACGCACUAUGAUUUCAUACAUAUGCUCCCCAGUUAUGGAGAUGUUGCCAUUUUAUAUAACACAGAGACAAACAUCAGGUAAGUGGUUUGAAUGGGCAUUCUCUCACCUGAACCUUGCUAUCUGAGUCUAUUAGGUUUUUAUCCUAAUAACAGGCUAGUAGAAAUCCACCUUCUUAAGUAUGGCCUAAAGAAUCAUGAAAAACACUAUGAAAUCAUAAUUGAAUUUAUUAGUAUUAGCCACGGAAGCUUUCACAUUGAAAUCAGCUUAUGAAACACUAUAUAUAUAUACACACACAUAUAUAUACACACACAGACAUAUCCAAAACUUUUGCCAUCCAAGAAUGUGUCAUAUUUAUUUACUUUAAAGUGGAAAACAAAGCAAAUAACCCUCCUGAAUUUUUAAAGAGGCAGUUUAAACAUUUUAAUAUUUUGUGUCUGGAAUAAAAUGAUUUGAUAGAUACUCAAUUUCUAGCUAGUUUAGUCUUUUCCUACAUCAACUCAUGGUAGAAGUUCAAAACACUGUAAUUUGGGGGAAUAAAUGUUUGUCUUUUUCCAUAAUGCUUCCACUUUGGGGAGUUGUUUAUUUAAUAAUCAAAAUCAGACCAUUUUUUUUGCAAGCCUGGCAAGUAGCUACCAGUUUGAGAUCCAUUCUGAUUUGAUUAAUUGGACCACAGAGAAGACAUGGGAAAAGGACUGACUGGAUGUUUCUGUUUUUUGGAUCUAAACAUUUGGGUUUUACAGCUUUAUUUUUUUUUUUUUUUGGACUGUCUAUACAAGACCACAGUGUUACAUGUUUUAAAAUCCACUGUUGCAUUUAGAACAUCUUAUGUUUUAAUUUUUGGUGCCUUUCGUUCCUGACGAGCAACUGGUUUUAAAUUCAGAGCUUACAGGACAUGAAAUGUGCAAGCCAAGGUUGACAGGACAGUGACAGGUCCUGGGUACGGUCACCGGCCUUUCCAUAUGUCACAGGAUGACAUGUGGUCAGGUUACCCAGACUGAGGUUUCCCAGGCAACCGGGUCCUGCUCCAUAUGGGUUCCUCGGGCAGUUGAAAAGCGAUGUUGAAGAUGAGCACACUGGAGACAUCGCGUCUCUUGGUCAUUGUUUGCUUUGUGCUCUCCCCUGUGUUCCCUGCCAUGCUGACCCCAGGCUCCAAGGUGGGAAAUGCAUUCUGCUUCUGGCACUCCAAAAGGUGCUUGGGGGCACACGGAAUUUUAAACAUUUUAAUAGCUUAAUGCUUUAAACUAUUCACAUAAUCACAUUAGCUACAAGCAUGUUAGUUUGUUAAGAAAGAGAGUAUGUUCCAUAAAUAUAAGUUAAGGGUUCAGAUGGUGCACACAGAUUUGGCCAAAAGGAAACACACACACACACACAUACACACACACACACACACACACACACACACACACACACACACACUGAGACUGACGCACAAACAAUUGGACUUGGUUUGCAAAAGUUCGGUUAUACUGAUUUCACUACUUAGACUAUUUUUCUUAUUCCUUAAUAACUAUAGCAGAAAUGAUACUGACUACUUUGUUUUUAUUCAAAUGCACAGUGUGUAACUACCUAUAUAACUAAUCUAUCUGGACUAUUUUUUUUUAACAAGAAGGAAGAGUUGUGAUUCAUUAGCUGGAGUGAGAGGCUUAUAAAACUGCCUCCUGCCUCCUGUUAAAAGAGCUUAGUCUGGAGUGGGGUGAAGCUUCCUCUUUAAUCUCAGCUCCAUCAUUAGGCAUGAAACCUUGAGGAAGUAUGCUCAGGCUAUCUGACAUCUAAGUACCUCAAUUUCUUUCUUUGUAAAAUAGGUGGAAUAGAAUAGGAUUAUUUCAAGGACUUGGAGGCUGAUGUGUGUGCAAUUGUGUAAUGUGUUUCUCAACACAAACUAAGCACCUAAUUAAUUCUAGUUAUUUUUUAUUUCUAAGCUGUUAUAAUUGCACAUCCUCCUCCUACUUCACAAUGGCUAAAAUGUGGAGAUGAGUGAGUUUCAGAAUGACAGUGCAUCAUAUCUCUAGGGCAAGGCUUCUGAAGUCUUUAUAAAGAGACUCUGGGGAUACCUCAAUUUUUAGGAGUCUCACUUUGUUAUUUAUGAGAUUGCAGGCAAUGUCUCUAGUCCUGAGUUUUUUCCAAAGAAAAGCCAACUCAUGGUUAU